rnacentral:rRNA from 1 species
UACGCAGGGAGCGAGUGCUGCCCGGAUUUAUUGGCUGUAAAGAGCUCGUAUUCGUCUCUCCUGGUCGGUCGUGAAAGUUCGGGGCUCAACCCUGAAAUGUCGAUCGAUACUGUUGUGACUAGGAUACGGUAGAGGUGAGUGGAAUUCCGAGCGUAGCGGUGAAAUGCGUAGAUAUUCGGAGGAACACCAAUUGCGAAGGCAGCUCACUGCUUCGCUAUCGACGCUGAGGAGCGAAAGCUAGGGGAGCAAACAGGAUUAGAUACCCUGGUAGUCCUAGCUGUAAACGAUGGAUACUAGACGUAGGAACUGGAUUGACGGUUUCUGUGUCGUAGCUCACGCGUUAAGUAUCCCGCCUGGGGAGUACGGUCGCAAGACUAAAACUCAAAGGAAUUGGCGGGACCCCGCACAAGCGGCGGAGCAUGCGGCUUAAUUCGAUGAUACCCGUAGAACCUUACCUGGACUUGACAUAUAGGGUCUAGCUAUAGAGAUAUAGUGUGCAUUAGCGCCCUAUACAGGUGGUGCAUGGCUGUCGUCAGCUCGUGUCGUGAGAUGUUGGGCUAAGUCCCGCAACGAGCGCAACCCCUAUCCUAUGUUGCCAGCAUUUAGUUGGGGACUCAUAGGAGACUGCCGGUGAUAAACCGGAGGAAGGUCGGGACGACGUCAAGUCAUCAUGCCCUUUAUGUCCAGGGCUGCCCGCACGCCACAACGGCAAGUACAACGAGUCGCAAUACCGCGAGGUGGAGCAAAUCUCUUAAAGCUCGUUUCACUUCGGAUAGGAGUUUGCAACUCGCCUCCUUGAAGUUGGAGUCGCUAGUAAUCGCAAAUCAACAAAGUCGCGGUGAAUACGCUUUCGGGGUA